UGGAGUUGUAUUCAAAAAUGAUAUCUGAUUUGCACUCAGAAGGUACUCUACUAAGAGUCAACUUCAU
rnacentral:tRNA from 1 species